GUCCAUCCAAGUUUGGUAAGAGAUGUGCCUUUUGCUAUGCUAUCACCAUGCCGAUGCCCUCAGAUCUGUAAGCAGGCACAGCUAAGCUUAAUCACUGCUUGGAUGGCAAAACCUGCAAGGAAGAGGUCCAGGAUGGAAAUUCUGCUGACAGGAUGGAAUUCCCCCAUGCAGAUUUACCAGUAGCACAGUUGUUAGCACAUCCUCAAUCAAAUCACCAGGAGGGCUGACGAGAUGUCUUGAAACACAAUGACUCUGCCAUUACUUCAAAGGCUUACUCUUUCUAAGGCCCUGGUCGUGCAAGGUGUUCUUGGGAGGAGGCGACAUCUGUCACUUCACGUGGGGACCUAUGAAUAACUUCUUGCCGGAUCAGGGCCGACAUUUGCUAAUUCACUCAAAUCUCCUCAAUAUGUAUUGUUGUUUUUACAGCACCCAAAGCAGGGAUAGGUGCAGCACAUAAACCGCAUGGGAUCCCAGCCUCAGAGCUCACAAUCCAUGUCCCCCAUCCAGCAAUUGGAUUUGAGCGAGCAGACCCCUGUGCCCAUGCAGACCUUCACUGACUGCAGUGGGACCCUGUGCAGGGGUCCACCCAUACGGAUCCAAUUGCAGGACUGGGGCUUAACUGGGGAGAAUACAACAGAAGGGGGAAGGGAUGCAACCCAAGACUCUUCAAAAUCCAUUCUAAUCAUCGUGUCUCUGGGGCUUUUUCAGCCCUUGCCAUUUUGCUGAUUUUUAUUUUCUAUUUUUCCAUUUGUUUGAUUGUAACCUUUUCAUUUUUCUUUUUGUUUUUUAAUCCUUUGCUAUUUUUCUUAUUUCCACCCUAACCCUAUGGGACUUCCCCACCCCAAAACAAUUUCAAGCACUCCUCUUUUCUUUCACAUUUACACCAGAGUAACUACAUCUUGGCCACACUCUCUGCUCCCCACCAGGGACUUCUCUCCUGACAGUCCUACCCGUCUUUUUACUCUUAGGGUCCUAUAGCCCAAGUGUCACUGAAUGAAAGUUAGUUCUGAUGGUUAGUUCUGCUGACGUCAAUUACCAAAGGCCAAAAUGAGAAAACUUUGGUGGAUGGAGAUUUGCCCUGAUGACAUCAGCCUGCUACGUGGGACGCUGGAAGUUCUUCCCUGCUCCGUUGGUGUCCUCCAAGCUUUUACCCUGGUGUAUCUCCCCUGAUUUCAAUGGAGUUACCCCUGGUUUACAUCACUCUGAGUGAGAGAGAGAGAGAGAAUGUGGCACAAGAUCUUUUAACGACCACUUGAACACAUGUAUGUUGCCCAUUUGGUUGGGGUGAGGGAAGGCCACAGGGGCCUGAUUUCAUAAAAUAUGAGAAGUGGCAGGUUUGAAUUCUUACAGGCUGUGUGUUUGCAACUACAAGUGCUCUUAAAAGAAUGUUUAUGUUAAGUAGCCCAUGGAGGGCUAUCAGUCUGAAAAAAUGCCAGUUGCUCUUCUCUUCUUCCUGAAGUGAGCCUAAAAGAGCCCUGUGAAUCUUAUACAUUCAUGUUUCUGAAUAUAUAUAUUCCUGUGAUCGUGACUUGGGAGGCGGGGGCGGAAAUCUACUUGUUUGUUUAGAGAAUAUCAACAUGAAAUGACCGUAUUUGGAAAUGUUACAUAAUUUUGUCUGCUUCCUCUGUGCACUUAUUUCAUUCCCACCAGCUCAUUGAUACAGUAGCAAUGACAGCAUAAGCUCUUCCCAUACAAUUACACUGGAGCUAUAAAUAGUAUAUUGCACCGCAAGGCAAAGUACAAAUCCCGGCAUUGGUGGGAAAAGUAGAAUUAAAAGAACGAUUCCAAAAAAUGAGGCAUUUAGUUCUUUGGAUCCAGAUGAGCUGGAAGGAUUUGCUGCUUUAGGCCUGAUUCAUGCUGGGCCAGGAAUAAAGUUAAAGAGCAGAGUGUGAGCAGAAUUUAAACAUAGCUCCAGCUAAACCAGUUUCCAACACAUUUUGACCAGGUAGGGCCAGAUUUUCAAGGGUUCAGCUCCCAUCUGGCACUGAAACAAGAACCAGCUAUUCAAAAGUUCUCUAGCACCCAGCAGCCCCCGCUGUGAUACUUAUGGCCACAUUUCCAAGACAGCUCAGCACACUGGGUGCCACUGACUUUGGUGCCUGAUGGGAGCCGAUCUCUUCUGAAAUUCUAGCCUCAAUUGUGGGUGCUGAAUUCUUUUGAAAAUCUGACCCAGAGUAUGGAUGGGGCCAAUCGGUGUUCAAACUAGAACAUAUUUUAAAAAUAUAGUUGUAAGGCCUAAUCCCAGUCCCACUGAAGACAACUGGACUGUUGGCAUUGAUUUAACAGGAAGUAGGAUCUGGCCCUAAGACUCUCCUGUGGGGCUCUCUACGCUAGGAUUAGCACAGGGUUCUGGAAGGAAGCUUUCCUCAGAGCUGUGCAGUCCUAACCACUUGUUAAGAUCACUCAGAGGCGGUGCGUGGAAACACGCUGAAGGAUCACGGCAAUUUUCUGAGGAAUUGUGAAGACAGAGAAGAGCUCACUUACGGCUUUUCCAUUAUUGUUCACCCCUGCUCAAGUUAAACGGGUAUCUUGACUUUAAAACACCAGUAUAAUUUAUUCAUUAAAACAAUCCUGGUUCCUGUUGUUCUACAUUUUUAAAAUAAACCUUCUUGCAACAUC